rnacentral:rRNA from 1 species
GCUUGUCUCAAAGAUUAAGCCAUGCAUGUCUAAGUAUAAAUAUCUAUACUGUGAAACUGCGUAUGGCUCAUUAAAUCAGUUAUAGUUUAUUUGAUGAUACCCCACUACAUGGAUAACCGUAGUAAUUCUAGAGCUAAUACAUGCGUCAAAUCCCGACUUUUUGGAAGGGAUGUAUUUAUUAGAUGGAAACCAAUGCGGGGCAACCCGGUAUAUGGUGAUUCAUAAUAACUUUCGGAUCGAUCUUCGGAUCGAUGCAUCAUUCAAGUUUCUGCCCUAUCAGCUUUGGAUGGUAGGGUAUUGGCCUACCAUGGCUUUAACGGGUAACGGAGAAUUAGGGUUCGAUUCCGGAGAGGGAGCCUGAGAAAUGGCUACCACAUCCAAGGAAGGCAGCAGG